GGUCAUGUUCGUUUCCAUAAAACAUCCGUUUAAUGCAUGCUGGGAAAGGCUCAAUCCAGGCAGGGAUGUUGCUGUCUGGCUGAAGAUUGACCAUGGCUCAGGGCUGGAUACAGACCUAUGUGACAGGCCCCACUGAGGACUGAAUGGACAGCGGUGUCUGAUGAAUGACCUGCCUCCUCCUUAAUCAGAAAGCACUCGCACCAAGACACCAACAAACACCAUCAGUGGCAGCACCAGGUUAAGAUUUCAUGACUGCUGGUGGGCCGGCUUCCGGAAUUCUCAAACGUCAACUGUCAGCUCCAAAGCAAACACGAGCGAUCCAGGAUGGAAAGGAAAAAGGAAACUGAGAACAAAUCCGCUCCAAGAAAACCUCCAGAAGAGUAACACACUGUGACAUGAGACAGGGACGCACUCCUCUAGUUAUUUCCCAGACGCUCUGAGUUUUACAAAAAAAGAAAAAGAUCACACCAACUGAUGUCACCCUCUGUAAUUUUGCAGACAAAGAAUCCUUUUGCUGUGUUGUAUCCAUUCUAUUAUCCAGGGCGCCAUGAACUGUUGUGGCAUUUACAUGAGAAAUGGGACUGGUGGUGAGCCUGGGCUCCAUCUCAGUUAGUUGUCUCUCUAAUCCAAUCUAGUGCAAUGGUGUUGGCAUUGCAGUACCAAGACGGCAGCAGUAGGGGUCUGCUUUGUGAAGGACCGAAGGGGGUUAUAAUUUUCAGACCCCCAAAUCCGGA